UGGGGAAUCUUGCGCAAUGGACGAAAGUCUGACGCAGCCACGCCGCGUGAGUGAAGAAGGCCUUCGGGUUGUAAAGCUCUGUCGCCCGGGACGAACAUCUUUGAGGUUAACAGCCUCAGAGACUGACGGUACCGGGAGAGGAAGCACCGGCUAACUCUGUGCCAGCAGCCGCGGUAAUACAGAGGGUGCAAGCGUUGCUCGGAAUCAUUGGGCGUAAAGGGUAGGUAGGUGGUCUCGUUUGUCUGGGGUGAAAGCCCAGGGCUUAACCCUGGAAGUGCCCCGGAAACGGCGAGACUGGAGUACUGGAGAGGGUCGUGGAAUUCCCGGUGUAGCGGUGAAAUGCGUAGAGAUCGGGAGGAACACCAGAGGCGAAGGCGGCGACCUGGACAGUUACUGACACUCAACUACGAAAGCGUGGGGAGCAAACAGG
rnacentral:rRNA from 1 species